UACGAAGGGGGCUAGCGUUGUUCGGAAUCACUGGGCGUAAAGCGCACGUAGGCGGAUUGUUAAGUCGGGGGGUGAAAUCCUGAGGCUCAACCUCAGAACUGCCUUCGAUACUGGCGAUCUUGAGUUCGGAAGAGGUUGGUGGAACAGCUAGUGUAGAGGUGAAAUUCGUAGAUAUUAGCUAGAACACCAGUGGCGAAGGCGGCCAACUGGUCCGAUACUGACGCUGAGGUGCGAAAGCGUGGGGAGCAAACAGGG
rnacentral:rRNA from 1 species